rnacentral:pre_miRNA from 1 species
CUGGCCCCCAGGCUGGGCUGGGCGAGUAUCUCUUGGAAAGACUCACUCUCAAGCACGACCAGGAGC